rnacentral:rRNA from 1 species
UACGUAGGGUGCGAGCGUUGUCCGGAAUUAUUGGGCGUAAAGAGCGUGUAGGCGGCCAGACAGGUCCGUUGUGAAAACUCGAGGCUCAACCUCGAGAUGUCGAUGGAAACCGUCUGGCUAGAGUCCGGAAGAGGAGUGUGGAAUUCCUGGUGUAGCGGUGAAAUGCGCAGAUAUCAGGAAGAACACCUAUGGCGAAGGCAGCACUCUGGGACGGUACUGACGCUGAGACGCGAAAGCGUGGGGAGCGAACAGG